rnacentral:rRNA from 1 species
AUUGAACGCUGGCGGCAUGCCUUACACAUGCAAGUCGAACGGCAGCACGGGUGCUUGCCCCUGGUGGCGAGUGGCGAACGGGUGAGUAAUACAUCGGAACAUGUCCUGUAGUGGGGGAUAGCCCGGCGAAAGCCGGAUUAAUACCGCAUACGAUCUACGGAUGAAAGCGGGGGACCUUCGGGCCUCGCGCUUUAGGGUUGGUCGCGGGCUGAUUCGCUAGUUGGUGGGGUAAAGGCAAACCAAGGCGAGGUUCAGUAGCCGGUCUGUGAGGCGGACCAGCAACACUGGGACUGGGACACGGCCCAGACUCCUACGGGAGGCAGCAGUGGGGAUUUUUGGACAAGGGGCGAAAGCCUGAGCCAGCAAUGCCGCGUGUGGGAAGAAGGCCUUCGGGUUGUAAAGCACUUUUGUCCGGAAAGAAAUCCUUGGCUCUAAUACAGUCGGGGGAUGACGGUACCGGAAGAAUAAGCACCGGCUAACUACGU